CCACAAACUUACAUAACAGGAAGCCAAUAAGCACAAACAAUAUCACAAACAGUCUACAUACAUACACAUAACAUCACAUACAGCCCCAUACACAUAAAUACCACAAACAAUAUGCACACAGGUAGCCCAUAAUCCAACACACAAUACAACAAACAGAGCUUGCUCCAGCAACCCCACAAACAUUCUACAUAUAUGUAAUACCGCAAAC